UACGGAAGGCAGCAGUGGGGAAUAUUGCACAAUGGGCGCAAGCCUGAUGCAGCCAUGCCGCGUGUAUGAAGAAGGCCUUCGGGUUGUAAAGUACUUUCAGUCGUGAGGAAGGUGUUAAGGUUAAUAACCUUAGCAAUUGACGUUAGCGACAGAAGAAGCACCGGCUAACUCCGUGCCAGCAGCCGCGGUAAUACGGAGGGUGCGAGCGUUAAUCGGAAUUACUGGGCGUAAAGGGCACGCAGGCGGUUAAUUAAGUUGGAUGUGAAAUCCCCGGGCUUAACCUGGGAAUGGCAUUCAAGACUGGUUAGCUAGAGUCUUGUAGAGGGGGUAGAAUUCCAUGUGUAGCGGUGAAAUGCGUAGAGAUGUGGAGGAAUACCGGUGGCGAAGGCGGCCCCUGGGACAAAGGACUGACGCUCAUGUGCGAAAGCGUGGGGAGCAACAGGGAUUAGAUACC
rnacentral:rRNA from 1 species